CUUAUGUGCCGUGAGAUCUUCUGGAGCUCUCCAGACCUCAGAGUGGCAGCGGUCUGGGCCUCCUCCUGUAACAGUGACCCUACCGCUCCUCCAGGAGGCCUCUACCUGGACUCUCUCUCCGGUUUUCUCCCUCCCCCACUCUGCUCUCCCUCUGCUGUCAGCCAACUGCCACCAUCACCAUGGAGACCUUGCUCUUGCUCACAGUUCCACCCUCGGCAGGAGUCAGAGCAGGGGGAGGGCGCCUGGUCUCAUUAGUCUCCUAUGGAACUGGCUCCUUUGAAAAUCAGCUCCUGGCUGCACGCUGCUGAUUAUGGCUGAGCCCCUCACCUGGAGGGCUCACUGUCAGCAAACACCAGCUAAGCCACCUUGGCAGGUGAACUCACUGCCCUCCCCCCAUGUGAGAUCUGACUUCCUGCUGUAAAUCUCACUGGCAGCACAGGAUAUGACUCCCAGGGAUGAAUCGACCUGACAUCGUGGGAUUGAGAACAUCUUCUUGACCAAAAGGGGGAUGUGAAAUGAAACAAAAUAAAACUUCAGUGACU